rnacentral:rRNA from 1 species
UACACACGGAUAACAUACCGAAAGGUAUGCUAAUACGGGAUAAUAUAUUUGAGAGGCAUCUCUUAAAUAUCAAAGGUGAGCCAGUACAGGAUGGGCCCGCGUCUGAUUAGCUAGUUGGUAAGGUAACGGCUUACCAAGGCGACGAUCAGUAGCCGACCUGAGAGGGUGAUCGGCCACAUUGGAACUGAGACACGGUCCAAACUCCUACGGGAGGCAGCAGUGGGGAAUAUUGCACAAUGGGCGAAAGCCUGAUGCAGCAACGCCGCGUGAGUGAUGAAGGCCUUCGGGUCGUAAAACUCUGUCCUCAAGGAAGAUAAUGACGGUACUUGAGGAGGAAGCCCCGGCUAACUACGUGCCAGCAGCCGCGGUAAUACGUAGGGGGCUAGCGUUAUCCGGAUUUACUGGGCGUAAAGGGUGCGUAGGCGGUCUUUCAAGUCAGGAGUGAAAGGCUACGGCUCAACCGUAGUAAGCUCUUGAAACUGGGAGACUUGAGUGCAGGAGAGGAGAGUGGAAUUCCUAGUGUAGCGGUGAAAUGCGUAGAUAUUAGGAGGAACACCAGUUGCGAAGGCGGCUCUCUGGACUGUAACUGACGCUGAGGCACGAAAGCGUGGGGAGCAAACAGGAUUAGAUACCCUGGUAGUCCACGCUGUAAACGAUGAGUACUAGGUGUCGGGGGUUACCCCCUUCGGUGCCGCAG